rnacentral:rRNA from 1 species
GACGAACGCUGGCGGCGUGCUUAACACAUGCAAGUCGAACGGAAAGGCCCUGCUUUUGUGGGGUGCUCGAGUGGCGAACGGGUGAGUAACACGUGAGUAACCUGCCCUUUACUUUGGGAUAACUUCAGGAAACUGGGGCUAAUACCGGAUAGUAGCUCCUGCUGCAUGGUGGGGGUUGGAAAGUUUCGGCGGUUGGGGAUGUACUCGCGGCUUAUCAGCUUGUUGGUGGGGUAGUGGCUUACCAAGGCUUUGACGGGUAGCCGGCCUGAGAGGGUGACCGGCCACAAGGGAAGGGAGAAAGGGGCCAGACGCAUACGGGAGGCAGAAGGGGGGAAUAGUGGAAAAUGGGCGCAAGGCUGAAGCAGGGAGGGCGCGUGGAGGAAGAAGGCCGGCGGGGGUGAAAGGAGUUUAAGCGGGGAGGAAGGGAGUAAAGUGAAUAACUUGGAUCAUUGACGUUACCCGAAGAAGAAGCACCGGCUAACUCAGUG